GGGGCCAUUAACAUUGUAUUCACUUUCCCAUUUCAUUUUGCAAGCCCUAACACUCUCUCUCCUUCCAUCACAGCUCUCUCUCCUUUCAUCACCGGUCUCGCCCGAUCUUGUAAUCCGUUUUGUUUUCCAUCACAGCUCUCUCUCCUUCCAUCACCGAUCAUCACAGCUCUCUCCCCUUCCAUCAGUCAGCGUUCCAAAACCCGAAUUUUAAUCAGAAACCAACGCUCUAAAACUGGUGACUUGGUUUAAAGAGACAAAGUCAUUGCUACUGCACACAGAGAGAGAGAUAGAGUCAUCGUUGGGGGUUUCCAAAAUCUCGUCUACACUAACAGAUCGGAGCAGAAUUUUUUUAGGAGUGGUUCAGUUUUUUGAAUAUCUUGCAACUGAGCGUCUUCCUUGCUUUGCCUGUUCUCUGUCUUUAAUCUCUCGGCUUUCUUCAAGCAGAGUCUUCCUUCGCAUCUUCAAGAGCACAAGUCAGGUAUGAUCUAGCAAGGGGAGUUGAAAUAGGAAAUAAGGAUGUAAAGCUUGAAUACCUGGAAGAAGCAUUCACAACAUCCAACUAGAUAGUUCAGAUUUACAAAGUCAAACCACCAAAUAAUAGGUGGGGCUGGAUUUCAAUUCAAAAGCAAGUAUUUGUUUGGGAAAGUAAAUAUUCAGAUCAAGCUUGUAGAGGGUGACUCCUUUCUAUAUGUCAUCAGAUGGCUCGAAUCACAACGAGUUCGAUUUUGGCUCCCUAUUUUGUUUGUGGCUUUGGUAUUUUCUUUCAAGAAUAUUGCAGUAUCUCAAUUAGUUGAUAGAGUAAUUUAUAGUAGUGAUAAAAUAAUUAUGAUGAUUUCAGCAACUUUUUAUUGAAUGGCGUUUUUGAUCUCUCUCUCUCUCCUCUAGUUUGGAUUGGACUCUUUGCAGGGCUCUUCAAAUCAUCUAAUGCUAAGGACUGACUCUUGAUUAAUUCAGGACAACUUCAUUUACAUCCCCAUCUACCUUGACUUUAAUGUGUUUAAGGACAUAAUGUGUUUUAAGUAUUAUUUCUUUAAUUCAUUGCAUGUAUUUUGUUUGUAUUUUGUUCACAAAUAUUAGAAAAAAGAAAGUUUGAAGUUUGAUGAGUUCUUUUGAAGAAACUUGUGGUUGUGUUCUUUAAUUCGUUGCAUGUAUUUUGUUUGUAUUUUGGUUUCCACUAAACAAGGGUCAUGACCAUAAAAGAGAUCCAUGUGUAGUUUUCAAUGUGUUGGAUUCAAUGCUGAAGGGUAGCUUAGAGCGGUUGAAAACAAUGAGGUUAGCUUUUGCCUAUGUUGUUUUGGUUGGUUUGGAUGGUAGAUUAGUGCAGCUUUCUUGUAAUUUUUUACUGGAGUUGCCGAGUUGUUAUGGAAGCAACCAGAUAGCUGUAGCAAUCCUUCUUGUUUUGAAAGUGAAGUUGAAAAAAUGCUACUUAACUAUUUUACAUCUUUCCUGCCUAUUUUUUUAGUACUUCCCUUUUUAGUUUUUAGUUUCAAAUUGCUGCUGAGUCUAAAAGCUCCAAUUGAUUCUUGUAAUUUCUCAAAUUGGUAAAAGUAGAAACUCUGUUUGCAAGUAGUUGUGGAAUCAUAGCCAUAGACUUCAAUGACCUUUGAGAAAUAGCGUUAUCUCAAAAUAACCUCAAAUUCCUUAUGAAGUAAGAUGUAAAAGUGCAAAACAAAAAAUAACAUUUAUAUGCUUUUUGUGGCAUUAUCUUAUCCCCUAUCUCCAGAUAUAUUUUCUCUUGAUGACCGUUGUAAACAUUUGCCAGACAAAGAGAGAACUGAAAUCAAUGAGCAACUUGAUCCGAGGGCCAGGUUUAUGCUAUGCUGCUUAAGUUUGAUUAUUUCAUAAAAUAAUGCGGGUUUUCAAGAUGAGGUUGCUUUUGCCAUUUGGGUGUGUCAAUCAAUUGUUUAAUAUCCUGAAGAUUUUUCUUUUUUAGUAUCCUUGAGGUAUGAUUAUUAGUUUUUUCUAUUUUUAUUUUUAUAAUUAUCAAGAUGGACUUACUUUUCCCCUGGAUAACAAAAUCCUUAAAUUGUUUUCGGAUUUCUUUACCAUUCUCGUCUAAAAAUUAAAGUUGGUGUACUCCAAUAUUCCAAUAGUUCAUACAUCAAAAGAAAUAUCCCGAAUUUCCUGGGAAAAGUUCAUAUAUUUAAUUUCUUAAAGUUCUCAUUUUCUCAACAAAAAUCAAAAGGAUCAUGAUUUUCCUUACAGAAGUAUUUUUAUUUGCAAGAUGAUUUUACUUUAAAAUUAAUUUUCACAACAUUUUUUCUACCUUUAAAAUGUUUUUUAAUGCCAAAAUCUGUCUGGUGGAUAUUUUUUACUUCAUAUUCUUCUCACUGCAUUCCUGAAUCUGCCCAAGUUCAGUGUUGUUUGAUGCAAAUUGUUUUUCAGCAAUAGCAGGACUUUAUCUGUUCUCCUACGUCAUCGUUCCUAAAUCAUGUCCUUUAUAUAACUGCAGUUUGCUGGCCUCUUGAAUCCUAUUCAUUUUUAUUUUCUUCAUAUUGUUUGAACUAUUUCCUUAUAUUGUUUUGGGUUUCAUGCAGUGAUGGGAUGAAUGGUUACAUAUCACUUUGUGUUGGAGACCCUUGCUCUCCAAUUUUUAGGUCACCUAUUGCAGGACUGGAAGAUAUUAUGGAUAAUCAAGUCAUGUAAGUUUCCAAUAAAUCAGAGAUAAUCUUUAAGUGGGUUAAUUAAAAUAAAAUGCAUCUUGGACUUCUUUUCCUUUUACUUUUUCUAUUUUUAAUUUUUUAUCUCUUCUGUUACUUAUCUGUUGUUCAGUUGUGCUAUAUACAGACUUCCAGAUGCUCAUAAACAUAUAGCUCGACCACCAGUCGGAGUUAUAUUCCCAAUAAGGUAUUUAGGUGACUAUUUUUUACAUUUUGUCGGACCAUCUUCAGUAUUUUGUUUUUGUCUCAUCUUUUCUCCUCUGUUGUUCCUACUUCUUACAACCUUGUCAUUGAUGUAUACAUAUUUAAAAAUUUUCAACUCGUCUUACUACUGGUAAAUCUAAAUUCUUCAUUUUAUUCAUGCUCAUUUUUUGAACAUUAACCAUCUGAAGUUCCUUUUAAACAUGUUCUCUUUAUACGGAGGUGUUGGGGACCUACUUCCUGAUAUUUGUUGGUUGUGCUACGAUGGUGGUGAAUUUGGGAAGGACAAGGUGGUGACACUUCCGGGAAUAACAAUUGUUUGGGGACUGGUUGUGAUGGUCUUAUUUCGAGAAUAUUAUUACAUGGAGUCUCAUUUGACGCAAAUUCUCAUGAUUUGAGACAUUAUAAUUUUUUUUUUUUUUUUUCGUGGGCCUGUUUUUGAGACAUAGCUACACUCUAUAUCAAAUUUCAUUAUUGCACCGUAA